CAGGGGGUAGUUUAUUGAAAAUGUUAAAUUUGGGGUUUAAAGAUGGAUCUUAUUUCCCCCCCCUGA
rnacentral:tRNA from 1 species